CAGCUUCUCUUGCAGCUCGUGCAGCUUCUGGCGCGCGCCCUCUUGGAGCUCUGCGCGCAGCGGCUCCACCUUCUGGCGGUAGAGCUCCAUCUCCUCCUGCCACUUCUUCUGGAAGUCGUCCAGAUCCAAAUGGCAAACCUUCUUCAUCCACCAGGACCCAACCCACAGGCUACUUAUUGCUGGAAACCUACGUUGUUCCUUGGAUUGAAGUAAUCUCUCCCUCCUCUGGUGCGCCCACAGCACUUGCACCAACAGUGGGUACUCAACAGACUAGCGUGCCUGCCGAAGAAGGGGUCCUCUGACAAUCAGGGGACAAUGGGGAAUUAUGCUCUCCAGACUUUCUACACACACAAGUCACACAGGAAGGAAGGUAAAGAGAAACUAGAGAAAAUAAUUUUUGAAGAAAAACAUUUCAGGAAGUAUUGAAAGUACACGGUAACUCAGCCUGGGGCAGGGGUGGAGGGCAGCAGCACUGUUUGCUGCAGCUAUGCUCCUUCCUCAGUGCCCUGCACACCCGGGACUUGCUCGGUGAGCAUCUCUCGUGUCAGUGACAGCUAGUGUGAGUACUCUUAUGUUCAGCUGCCCCUGACUACCUCUUGACUUUGGGGACAAGUUACUUAAUCUCUGUGCCUCCGCUGUUUCACUGGUAAAUGGGAAUAAGAGUUGGUUAUUCUAGGGUUGUAGGGUUGUUGUAAGGAUUAAAUGAAUCCGUAUGUGAACAG
rnacentral:lncRNA from 1 species